GACGAACGCUGGCGGCGUGCUUAACACAUGCAAGUCGAACGGCAAGGCCCUGCUUUCGUGGGGUGCUGGGGUGGCGAAGGGGGGAGGAACACGUGAGUAACCUGAUCUUGAUUUUCGGGUAGCUUCAGGAAACUGGGGCUAAUACCGUACAGGAUCUCACGCUGCAUGGUAGGGGUUGGAAAGUUUCGGCCGUUGGGGAUGGAAUAGCGGCUUAUCAGCUUGCUGGUGGGGUAGUGGCUUGCCCAGGCUUUGACGGGUAGCCGGCCUGAGAGGGUGACCGGCCACAUUGGGACUGAGAUACGGCCCAGACUCCUACGGAAGGCAGCAGUGGGGAAUAUUGCACAAUGGUCGGAAGCCUGAUGCAGCACCGCCGCGUGCGGUAUGACGGCCUUCGGGUUGUAACCCGCUUUCGCCUGUGACGAAGCGUGAGUGACGGUAAUGGGUAAAGAAGCACCGGCUAACUACGUG
rnacentral:rRNA from 1 species